rnacentral:rRNA from 1 species
UACGUAGGGGGCAAGCGUUGUCCGGAUUUAUUGGGCGUAAAGAGCGUGUAGGCGGCCACACAGGUCAGCUGUGAAAACUUGAGGCUCAACCUCGAGACGUCGGUUGAAACCGUAUGGCUAGAGUCCGGAAGAGGAGAGUGGAAUUCCCGGUGUAGCGGUGAAAUGCGCAGAUAUCGGGAAGAACACCCGUGGCGAAGGCGGCUCUCUGGGACGGUACUGACGCUGAGACGCGAAAGCGUGGGGAGCGAACAGG